GAUGUUUCUGACCUGUUGAAUCGUUGAUGAUGGGAAUCGCAGGGAAGAGGACGCUCAACUCAAUUGCCGACGUUUGGACUUUCAUGAUGGUUGACUCGUGCUUUCAGACUCAUAUGAAUAUGUAGGUGAUCAAAUAGUUCAAUCACCAUUCAACACCAAUAUCAUCUCUCAACAACUUUUCCAGUUUGCACACUCCACCAACACGCUCCAACCUGCUGAAAGUUUGCACUCUCAUAUGAAAGUUUCCAGUCGAGGAUUUGAACCUGAAAGCGAUCCGACCAAC
rnacentral:lncRNA from 1 species